CAGUCGCCACGGGAAUACGAAGGGGGCUAGCGUUGCUCGGAAUGACUGGGCGUAAAGGGCGCGUAGGCGGCGAUCAAAGUCAGGCGUGAAAUUCCUGGGCUCAACCUAGGAAUUGCAUUUGAUACUGUUUGGCUUGAGUUCGGGAGAGGUGAGUGGAAUUCCCAGUGUAGAGGUGAAAUUCGUAGAUAUUGGGAAGAACACCAGUGGCGAGGCGGCUCACUGGACCGACACUGACGCUGAGGCGCGAAAGCGUGGGGAGCAAACAGGAUUAGAUACCCGAGUAGUCCCUGUCUCUUAUACC
rnacentral:rRNA from 1 species